rnacentral:lncRNA from 1 species
GGUACAUUGGCCCCAAAGUAUCUUGAAGCAAUGGCUAUAAUUGAACGCAUGCAGGAGAAGUUAAUGGAGGUUGAAAGCAGAGCCAGACGAGCAGAGGAGAAGUUUGACGAUGUAAGUGAGAAACUACAUUAUACCCUUAUGAGAAAUAGGGAACUGGAGAAAGAGCUAGAGGAAAUAUUGAUGAAGUAUAAAGAGAAGGACUCUGAAGGAGGAGAGGAAGAAGAUAAAGGAGAAAGAGGAGAAGAAGAACAAAAAGAAGAAGAAGAAGAAGAAGAAGAAGAAGGAAUGAGGCCAGUAGAAAGAGCCUCAAAGUCUUCAAAGAACGAGGUACAGCGCAAGGAGAGCUCUAAAUCCAAAACCCGGAUUAAAGCCAUUUACAGGAGCAAACCCAAGUAGCAACCAUAGGAUAGUGGGGUUCACCACGGCUCCCCUCACUGCACUAACCCUAGAUACCUCUGCACGUUUGAGCUCACAGUGUGGGUCGAUUGGAGGGACUCCCUUUGCAACAACUAGAAGAGUCAUGACAUACAACUCAGGAAUAUUUUUCCUUUAAGAGUCACAGGGAUGAUUGCAGGGAAUCAGUGCAUUAGCUUAUUUCCAAGAUUAAAAAUAGCUUGUGCAAAGGUUUUCUAGUCUCUUAAUUGAUUUCCCAACAGACGUCUAUGAAAAGUGUCAGUUUCUGUUGAGUAAACAAUGCUUUUUGAAGACUUGAACUCUGCAAAGAAGAGUGGCAAAUAAAGAGCAUCAGGUUUUCAAUUUACAGGAGAGGAUCCUGAUAAUGCUCUUAGGUUUCUACAGCAUUUUCACAUUUUGUAUUUCAGACAUUCUUAAGAUUUAUCUGGUCUUUACAGUAACCCAGCAAAGCAAGUGGAGG